GAUACAGUCACAAUAUUUAAAGAAAGAUUUUCUAAAAAUUUAUUAACUAUUUAAAAAAAUUUCUUAGGAAAACAGAAUAACACGAACCCUUUGGAAUGAAGUUUUCAUAUUGUGUGUAAGCACUUUCAUUGUUCAGUUUUCCAAAAAUACACACACCCAUAUAAUAUUACAGCCAUGAAAUUAGAUUUUUUUAAUCACUUUUUCUGGCAUUAAAUGUUUCUAUAAUUUACCCCAACUGCCCUCUGAUGUGUUUGCUUGUGUGUGUGUGUGUGUAUGUGUGCAUGUGUAUGUAUAUAUAUAUAUUAAUUUUUUUAUUUAUUUAUGAUAUUCAUUAUAUAUACAUAUGUAUUGAAUGCAAGUAGUUAUUACAUCUGGUACUUUUCAGUCAUGGUUUUAAACUGCACAAUGAUGAUCUCGGUGUUAUAGAUGUAUUGCUGAAAUGUUAUGCAGGGGAACCCAGAGGCCCAGUCUUCAGCAAUGCCCUACUACUACUUAAAAUAAUAAUAAUGAUAAUAAUAAUAAUAAUAAUAAUAAUAAUGAAAUAAUGAUAAUGGUUUUAAUUUUGUUCCAGCAGUUUUGAGAGAAAGGGAUUAGGCAAUAGUAUUGAUCCCAGUAAUUGACUGGUACUUUAUUUAUAUUGAACCAUUAAAGUACAAUUGGCAAAGUUGAUGUUAUAAUGGUUCUACCUUCCAGCACACUAUCUUUAAUUACUUUUAAUUUAGUUACAAGGCCAACAAUUUAUGAGGGGAGGGGCAUAAAAUUUUGUCAUUGACUUUAGUACUUGACCGGUACUUUAUUUUAUCAACCCGCUAAAAAGAUAAGAGGGAAAAUUGACCUGGGCAGGAUCUGAACUUGUGAUGUAAACAAAUCUGAAAAAACACCAUAAGGUAUUUUGUUUGGUACUCCAACAAUUCUGCCUUACUAAUGAUAAUGAUAAUAAUAAUAAUAAUAAUAAUAAUAAUAACAAUAAUCACAGUUAACUUAUCGUGUUUCAGAUAAAGGAAUUUAGAAGUUUGAUGCAUCCCAAGUCUAUAUUUUUUCAGGUAGCUUAGAACUUCGCGAAUGUGAUAUCUUGUUUAUCGAUAAUUAAAAAAGAAGUUAAAUAUAUUUAAUAUAUAUAAAUAUUGUUUGAUGUAUUUAUUACGGAGUGUGUGUGUGUAUAAUAUCCAUUUGUAUAAAUAUAUUAUUGAGAUCAUAUAUGCUUAUCUGUUUUUCAUUUAGUAUUUCUGAUUAUGGAUUUACUUGAUGACAAUGUAUAUUCAUAUAUGUAUGUAUAUACAUUAUAUAUCAUGCAUUUAAAUAUAUGCCAUGUAUGUGUGUGUGCAUAUAUAUAUAUAUAUAUAUAUAUAUAUAUAUGAACAUUUGAUUUAUAUGUAUUUAAUGUGUAUAUAUUAUAUAAACAUUGGGUUUAUAUACAUGUGUGUGUGUGGAUAAUCAUACCAUACAUCUGUCUGUCUGUUUCUCUCUCUCUCUCUCUCUCUCUCUCUCUCUAUAUAUAUAUAUAUAUAUAUAUAUAUAUAUAUAUAUAUAUAUUAUAUAUAAAUUCAAAGUAUUUGAUGCGUCGGUAUUAUGAUGAAGUCCUUGGCAGAAAUUGAACUGUGGACCUCUAAUUGAAUAAGACAGCAGGAGAUGAAUGUUAGUUGAAUUCCUAUGGAGGAGUUAGUCAUAAGAUUUUACGUUAAAGAAAUCUUGCAUAUACAAAUGUGUAAUGUUUAAUAAAUAGUUUACAUUUAAAAAAGACAAAAACAAAAAAAAACUUGCCUGUAUAAUUCCAUAUAUCAGUAUGUGUAUAUGUAUGUAUGUUUGUGUGUGUGUGUGUGGGUACAUAUACAUGUGUGUGUGUUUAUUUAAAGCUAUGUACUUUGUAAUUGCUUUUCUGACUCUAUGCAUUACUAACCCUGAUUCCCCUCUAAUUUUUGUGUGUGUAUGUAUGCAUAUGUAUUUAUAUGUGUGUAUAUGUAUGUACAUGUGCACAUAAAUUUAUAUAAAUGUGUAUGUAUAUAUAUAUAUUCAUAUAUAUGUAUAUAUCAAUAUGUACAUACAUACAUAUAUAUAUAUGUAUAUAUAUGUAUACAUACAAGAUUUUUAUAUAUAUAUGUUUACAUUAUAAACAUUGAGUCUGAUAUAACAUAUUUUGUGUAGUCACAAACGUAUUUUGUUGGACUCAAUUUUUUUUUUAUAAAACAUAUUGACACUCAGACUUCACACAUUAAUUCCUAUUUUCAUUUUUCCUUCUGACCGUGGCCUGACCGUGUUCCUAUGAACUGGUGGACCCAGGACCAUAUUAUACAUACAUGUAUACACACAUGCAUACGCAUUACAACUUCUCCAUAUCAAACAUGAUAUUUAAUCUCUAUUAUUUAAUGUAUAAUUCUAUUGUUAAUUUCUCUAUCUUCAUGCUUUCUCUACCUUCAUCCUUUCCUCUGAUGCUGUUGACAGAGUACUUCAGUCGCUGAGUUUCAAAGUGUACCCAUCAGUAUUACAGAGUUCUUGCUAAAAAUAGUCUUUCACCUUUUUUUUUUUAAGACAAAAAAAAAGAGAAAACAAACUUAGAUUAUCUUCAGUUACAUCUCACCUCAAACUGUUAUUUUGAAGAGAGACAAAAAAAGAAAUGAAUAUUUUAUUUUUGUUUAUUUCAUGUUUUGUUUUGUUAUUUCUAUUAUUAUCUUUGAAUAUUUCAAUUGAUCCAUCCAUUGAUUAUCAAAUUAAAACUGAAU
rnacentral:lncRNA from 1 species